GAUGGUGGAGUGGAGGUAUGGUGGGAUGGUGGAGUGGAGGUAUGGUGGGAUGGUGGAGUGGAGGUAUGGUGGGAUGGUGGAGUGGAGGUAUGGUGGGAUGGUGGAGUGGAGGUAUGGUGGGAUGGUGGAGUGGAGGUAUGGUGGGAUGGUGGAGUGGAGGUAUGGUGGGAUGGUGGAGUGGAGGUAUGGUGGGAUGGUGGAGUGGAGGUAUGGUGGGAUGGUGGAGUGGAGGUAUGGUGGGAUGGUGGAGUGGAGGUAUGGUGGGAUGGUGGAGUGGAGGUAUGGUGGGAUGGUGGAGUGGAGGUAUGGUGGGAUGGUGGAGUGGAGGUAUGGUGGGAUGGUGGAGUGGAGGUAUGGUGGGAUGGUGGAGUGGAGGUAUGGUGGGAUGGUGGAGUGGAGGUAUGGUGGGAUGGUGGAGUGGAGGUAUGGUGGGAUGGUGGAGUGGAGGUAUGGUGGGAUGGUGGAGUGGAGGUAUGGUGGGAUGGUGGAGUGGAGGUAUGGUGGG